GUCAAUAAGAUUUUGAUAGUAAAAGAGCCAGGUAGGACGCGUGGCAAUGGUUUUAAGUUAAACAAAUUCAGAUUCAUCAAAGACAUAGGCAAGAAUUGGUUUACUAACAGAGUGGUGGAUGAGUGGAACAGGCUUGGGGGCCAUGUUGUGGGUGCCAAUACCAUAGAUACAUUCAAGAAGAGGUUAGAUAAAGCCAUGGCCUUGUAUAGCCUAACCAGCCUCUUGCAGACUCCUUAUGUUCUUAACUCUUGCAUAAGGAGUUUGGACACACAAACCAUUUCAUAAUAUAUAUCAAAGCAUUUGUGAUCAGAUUAUGCAUCAUCUAUUUUGGGGGGUUUAAAUAUCAUGGCACAAACUUGGCCCAUCGCUGCUACACGGUAAAGCCACAAACUUGGCCCGUUGCUGCUGCCGGGUUAAUGGAGCAGCCACCUGUGUCUGAGCCAAGAUGUCUGGAUGUCUCUGCCGCUGCCUCUCCGCAUGUCUGAGUCUCCCUGUACUUCCAGUGUGUUGCCCCGCCUGGAGAGACACGUUGAUGGAGGUGGCCGUGUGUGUCACCCUUUGCCUGUAUCCUCUGGCGCCCAGAGGCGCGUAAGCGGAGAGCAUCGGCGCAGCGCGGGAGCAGCACGUCAGGGUGUAGGGUGUUUGUUUAGCUGGUGUAGGGUGUUAGGGUGUUAGGUGUAACAACGGUUGGCUCUUUCACAGAACGGGUGUGACUCCGUUCUGCGUUUGAGUCUUCCACCUUCAGACGGUCUCCCUCCGAGAUGUCUGAAGUUUUUUUUGUCGGUUUUCUCCGUAGGAGGAAGCCGACUCUAGCUACUCUGGCCUCUCUUCCGGGGGUCAGAGCGGUCGGGCUCUGCUUGGCCAGGCGUUAGUCUUUCGCGUUGUCUCCGCCGACGUUUUGCCAGACUCUUCCGUAAGGUUGAGCCUGGCUUUUUUAUUAGGUGGAUCAGGCUGCCUUCUUCCAAGGAGUCUGAUGGGAGUGGAGUCUUUUUUUUGGUGUAUGUCUGUGGGUGCUCAGUGGGUAAGGGAGGGUGGGGUAGAAUGGUUGGUGGGCUGGAAGUGGGUUGGGGGAUGAGCCUCCUGGGAUUUGGGUUGUGUCGAGCCUUACCGCCUGGUGUGUUGGGUAACCUUCACGCCAGGGGGGGGGUGCCAAGACCAUAUCCAUCUCCUGGGCAGGGCGAUUCCCCUUUCCCAUGCCAACUGGCCCUCCUCCGUCUGCCUCCCCAAACCCCCGCUGAGUGCUUGUGUGUGUUAUUUUAUUUAGGAUGUCUUUUUUUUCUAUGCCUUUUUCCCGUGUGUUUAUACCCAAUAGCUAGCGUGUGUGUGUGUGUGGCAGUCCGGAGGCGCGUGCAGCGAGGACAUCACAUCACGUCACUACGGUAUAUCCACGGUAUUUGGUUUAGUGUGUGCUGUGUGUGUUUGUGUGUGUGAUGGCAGGCCUGCCGUGUGUUUGACCUUUUGCUGUGUGUUGCUGUGUGACUGCUAGGAUUUCAUUUCUAUGUAUGUUUUUUUCCCCAUAACCCCCUUCCUCCCUAGCUCUUUAGCUGUUGUCCCUGCUGGGUGGAUGCUGCCGGGCGACCAACGGCGGUGGCGGUGUGCAACGCGGGAGCUGCUGAGGUUUGGGGUAGCACUACGGUGCAGGUUAUGUAGGGUGUGUGAGUUUUUUUUUUGUGUGAGUGUCUUUUUUUUGUGUGGGGGACUUAGCUAAUCACUGUGUCAGGAAGGCAUGGGCGUGGCCGUCUGUCCAUCAGGCCGACGGGCGGGUGUGCCACCUGGCAGUCAGGCUAGCAGGUGACAGGCAAGCUAUCUGGCGGUCAGGCUGUCAGUCGGGCCAUCAGAUAGGUAGGCAGGCCACCUUGCGGUCGGGUUGUCGGGCGGGCACCCCACCCUCGGUCAGGUAGGCAGGCAGCAGCGUCUACGCUGAGCCGUACGGCUACACGUACGAACGCACGGAACCCGUACGCUACGUUCCGCUGCACUGACGCUCGUCGUACCUCUGCUCGCACGCUUGCGGGCGGGUUGGGGGCGGGGGGCGGAUGGGCGGACGGGCGGGCGUACGUGGGAACGGGCGGGCGGACGGGUGGUCGGGCGGUUAGGGAGUCGGAGCAACGCUUGAAAGACGCGCAGAUAGAUGUCAGAUUCUCCCGUAGGGAGGUCUGGCAAGGUGUUAGUUUAGGCGGCGGAGUUGUACGCGGGCCAGUCUGUGUUACAGCUUUGCCGCCAGGGUAGCUCCUUCCGAGUUACUGAGAACCAGUUUUCCUCACAGGAGGAGGCUGGUGGGGCCUAGGGUGUUAGGGGUACGACGGUUGGCUCUUUCACAGAACGGGUGUUUUCCGUUCUGCGUUUGAGUCUGCCGCCUUUGGGCGUCUCCCUCUGAGAUGUCGGUUAGGAUUUCUUUUUUUUAUAUGUCCGUGUGUGUAACUGUUGCCUUUUAGCCUGUUGUGUUCCUGAGCAGCAAGAAGAGGCGGCUGUGGUGACCCGCCCGAUGCGGAAGGCUUCUGGGCCCUGUCGGCGGGGGCGCACCUCUCUGGCUGACUGGUUGACCAGGCUUUGACCAGGUGGCCAGGGAGGCGCAUCCUCGCUGGGCGGGGUCUGGGGGCCCUCCGUCUUGGGGAGGUCGCUGCAGCAGGAGGAGGUAACUACUGCUGGUUUUGUAAGGCAUUGUGGUUGAGAGCACCUUGCAGCUGUAACGCGAAUUUCGUUCCGUAAUAAACAAUGUACCGCCAUGCUGCCUGUCCUUCCUCCCUCCCAGCACUGUGUACGUCUGUGUGUGUGUGUUGCUUAAUUCUCCCUCACUGCACUGUGCGUACGUCUGUGUGUGUGUGUUGCUCUGUCUCUGUCUCUCUCUCUCUCUCAAUCUCUCUCUCUGUCUCUGUCUCUCUGUCUGUCUCUCUAUCUCUCAAUCUCUCUCUGUGUCUUUCUCUCUCUCUCUCUAGUUAGUAAAGAACAGGCAACGUUUGCCAUGGAAGACUCUACAGUGUACAUCCCAACCCUCUACGGCCGUUGCUGCUCCACCCGGGCAUUACCACAUCCACCCGGGUCUACAAGAAACCUCCAGGGCCGAGCUUCAACCACAGAACACCUCGUCACCGUUGAUGAGGCUCCACGCCCCGGACCACAGCCAUGUUAGCCUCGAUAAUAGUCCUCGGCGCACUUAUUCUGAGACGUCCUCGCGAGUGAGUGUCCUAAUUGCCUUUACUGAUAAUGUCGCAGGUGUCCAGUGGUUCAGGUGUGAUGUCAGAUAUUUUUGUUAUUGUGUCAUAAAUAUCCAGUGAUUAUUUCCGAGUCGCUGAAUGUUCAUCGCACACAGUUUGUCUUUGAGUAGAAACACUGAUUAAUAUCCAUGAUCGGUUAGGUUACGAACUCCCUCAAUUUCAGACUGGAGAGCUACACAACACUGGUCAUCCGCUGAGUGGUUGAAUUCCUGGUCUACCGGCCCCUGGAGGAGUGGUCGAUUGCCUGGUCUACCGUGGAUAUGAGUGGUUGAUUCCCUGGUCUACCCCUGGAUGACGCAGCUGUUCCUAUGCAGGGGAGGACUCACACAAGCGAUAAGCACCUGUCGGACCUGGAGACUCCCCCCUGAGCCUGACGGUGGAGCUGUGGGCCCUGCACCAGACCCCCCCCCCCCCCACACCACCCACAGCAGGGGCAGGGCAUUGAGACUCCCCCCACAGGCUAAGACAGGGAGGGACUUGAAGAUCCAGGUUUUUGUCAUCUGCACAGGAAUUGACACUAGACAAUAAUUGACAAUAUAGUUUCCUUUUUUGUGUGUGCCCUUGAGCUGUCUCCUUUGUUGUAGAAAAAAAUACUUGACAAGGCUUUCAUAGGUGUUUGGGGCAUUUCCAGGGGUAGUUUAAUGACCCUGGUGGUAGUCUGACCCUUCCUCUGUGCAAUGAACUUGAAAAAAACGCUCAUAAAAAUGCAGAUAUUAACCCAGUAGCAGUGGGGAUCAUGUUUCUUAAUGGUCCCUCCAAGCGAGAAAAAUGAGAAAAAAAUCACCCUCACACAAACCAUUUCAUAUAUAUCAAAGCAUUUGCGAUUAGAUUAUGUAUCAUCUAUUUUUGGGGGUUUAUAUCAUGGUACAAAUUUGGCCUGUCGCUGCUACAUGGUAAAGCCACAAAAUUGGCCCAUCACUGCUACCAGGUUAACCUCAUUAUCGUGUUAAAAUCCCUGUAUCUCACUGUUAUCUUCCUCUCCCUCUAUAUUAUUUAUCAAUCUCUCUCUCUCUCUCUCUCCCACAGAUGUCUAAGGUUUCGCCCAUGCAGCUGAAGGGUGCCAAUGCCUACACAUGCGUCGACCACAGGUGUGCGCUGGACAUUGCCUACAAUUCAUGGUGCAAAUGGUAUGUUGGAGGAAUUCUUUGAUGUAUUUGAGGGACUGGGAUGCCUGCUGGAUGGUACAGGUAAAUUACUUGGCUGAGAGAGCCCGGGUUCAAUUCCCGGGCAGAGUGGAAAAAUUUGGGCGGCUUUUCCGAUACCCUACGCCCCUGUCCACCCAGCAGUGAAUGGGUACCAGGUAUUAAUCGGGGGUUGUGUCCCGUCUCCUGGGGUCUGUUCCCUUCUCCUAUAAUCCUUUCCUCUUCUGUCUCUCUCCGGCAUAUGACCACAGAUGUUGCACCCACUAAACAAAACUUUCCUUCCUUCCCCUUCUGUCUCUCUUCGGCAUAUGACCACAGAUGUUGUGCCCAC